rnacentral:tRNA from 1 species
UGCCCGAUAGUGUAAUGGUAGCACACAAGAUUUUGAUUCUUGGCGUCUAGGUUCAAAUCCUAGUCGGGCAA